AUGGCGGAGGAACCGUCCACCAAGCAUCAUCAUGGCGAGACGACUGACAAGAGCUGCAACCUCGAUGACGUUCACGUCCCUGGCGAGAAUCACGCAUACACCAGAACACUUGAAGGGGUUGAGCUCCACGGUAAUGAGACGCUGGAGAUCAUCCGCACAAGCAAACCAGACAAGGCCGACGAGAUGACCACCAUGCUCUGGAGGAAGGCUGGCGGCUCUCAUCGUAAGAUCGUCGGUCUUGGUUUGUGCGUGGAGGAACUCUUCCUGGUGUACCAAAUCACAGUGGCCAUGAAAUGUCCCAAGCGCCUCAAUGAGAUGCUGAAGCAUGAGAAGUUGUUCACAUUUGCCGGUUUCAGCAUUGAAGGCGACAAAGAGAAGAUGAAGAUGUCUGGCCUUCCAACGAUCAACCCCAACAAGUAUGUCGACAUUUAG
rnacentral:rRNA from 1 species